CCGUGUCGGCUAGAAGGGACGCAUAGCCCAGCGCGUAGUCUAUUCCUUUAGCCCAAGUAAUAAAUUACCCUUUGGAUCUUCUACUCCGGCUUUGGCUUGAAGAUAAAUCACCGCAGCAAGGACUGUCGUCUGCGGGAUUGAAGAUAAUUAAUGCUCGUCUUGGGCUGCGAGGUAAGGAUCGUCGUCUGCGGGAGAGACGGUUCUUCCAUUUUCACAUUUACUA
rnacentral:lncRNA from 1 species